rnacentral:rRNA from 1 species
AGUGGCGGACGGGUGAGUAACGCGUGGGAAUAUGCCCUAUGGUGCGGAACAACCGAGGGAAACUUCAGCUAAUACCGCAUGUGCCCUACGGGGGAAAGAUUUAUCGCCAUAGGAGUAGCCCGCGUUGGAUUAGCUAGUUGGUGGGGUAAUGGCUCACCAAGGCUACGAUCCAUAGCUGGUCUGAGAGGAUGAUCAGCCACACUGGGACUGAGACACGGCCCAGACACCUACGGGAGGCAGCAGUAGGGAAUCUUGCGCAAUGGGCGAAAGCCUGACGCAGCCAUGCCGCGUGAAUGAUGAAGGUCUUAGGAUUGUAAAAUUCUUUCACCGGGGACGAUAAUGACGGUACCCGGAGAAGAAGCUCCGGCUAACUUCGUGCCAGCAGCCGCGGUAAUACGAAGGGGGCUAGCGUUGCUCGGAAUUACUGGGCGUAAAGGGCGCGUAGGCGGACAGUUUAGUCAGAGGUGAAAGCCCAGGGCUCAACCUUGGAAUAGCCUUUGAUACUGGCUGUCUUGAGUACGGGAGAGGUGUGUGGAACUCCGAGUGUAGAGGUGAAAUUCGUAGAUAUUCGGAAGAACACCAGUGGCGAAGGCGACACACUGGCCCGUUACUGACGCUGAGGCGCGAAAGCGUGGGGAGCAAACAGGAUUAGAUACCCUGGUAGUCCACGCUGUAAACGAUGAGUGCUAGUUGUC